rnacentral:rRNA from 1 species
GAUGAACGCUGGCGGCGUGCCUAAUACAUGCAAGUCGAGCGAAUGGAUUAAGAGCUUGCUCUUAUGAAGUUAGCGGCGGACGGGUGAGUAACACGUGGGUAACCUGCCCAUAAGACUGGGAUAACUCCGGGAAACCGGGGCUAAUACCGGAUAACAUUUUGAACCGCAUGGUUCGAAGUUGAAAGGCGGCUUCGGCUGUCACUUAUCGAUGGACCCGCGUCGCAUUAGCUAGUUGGUGAGGUAACGGCUCACCAAGGCAACGAUGCGUAGCCGACCUGAGAGGGUGAGCGGCCACACUGGGACUGAGACACGGCCCAGACUCCUACGGGAGGCAGCAGUAGGGAAUCUUCCGCAAUGGACGAAAGUCUGACGGAGCAACGCCGCGUGAGUGAUGAAGGCUUUCGGGUCGUAAAACUCUGUUGUUAGGGAAGAACAAGUGCUAGUUGAAUAAGCUGGCACCUUGACGGUACCUAACCAGAAAGCCACGGCUAACUACGUGCCAGCCGCCGCAGUAA